rnacentral:misc_RNA from 1 species
UAGAUAUCCGAGCCGUCAGUCGGACUUUGGGACAAUUAGCAAUCAGUCAAGCGUCGUCGGCUCGUCAACGUGAAGAGGAUCUGCGAAUCAAGCAGCGCCAAGCGGAGGAACAGAGUCGGCUUAGCUUAAGAGAUUGUGUAUACGUUUUGGAGGAAGAGGAUGAAGACGGCCUUGGUGCAGUUGGGGAUGAUGCGAAGGAUUUAUAUUCCAACGGCGGAGGUGGAGUUCUAG